GUCUAUCAGACAAUUUUUUGCUAAAUUUAUUAUUUAUACGUCAUUACACGGCUCUAUUAAAUGCUAUUAAAUUAUCCUCACCUUAUCCAUUGGGAGUGUCAUUGUUAAGGCAGUAGUACAAGUAAAUAACCAAUAGGUGUCAGUAAUCCGCGGGAGAGCUUCGCUGCAUAUUUCUCUUCAAGAUUGAGAAUCGCAACGAAAUCCUCGUCGAGCAACACGUCCACUGAGCAACCAUGUCUGUGUCCUUAAAGGAACUCUGUCAGGUACAGAUUAGAACUAUGAACUUGAAAAUCAACCAUUCUGAUGACUGGCGUCCCCAUCCGAGUCACCACCUCAGACAACAACAGUCAUAAACUCACAAACACAAAUACACUCAGUAAUGGGCUUAAUAAAGAAAGACUUAACUAUGAUUUUAUCUGUGUUAACCUAUGAUAUCAGUUAUUGAUGUAUUUUAAAUAUUUACGUAUUACUAGGCUUAUCAUACAUGCAUUGAAGUUUUAAAAUGUAUCUAAUAUAAUACUUUAAUUAAAUUGAAUGUUUUGGAUACCACCAUUAAAUUAUUUUGUGCAUGUAAAACACAAGCAGCAAUGUUUUUAUUGAAUUCAAU